CCCUUAGAUGUUCUGGGCCGCACGCGUGCUACACUGAUGCAUUCAACGAGUCUAAAACCUGGUCUGAUAGGGCUGGGUAAUCUUUUGAAAGUGCAUCGUGAUUGGGAUAGAUGAUUGCAAUUCUUCAUCUUCAACGAGGAAUGCCUAGUAAACGCAAGUCAUCAGCUUGCAUUGAUUACGUCCCUGCCCUUUGUAUACACCGCCCGUCGCUCCUACCGAUUGAAUGAUCCGAUGAAUACCAUGGAUUGAGAGUACGAAUAGGUUCGCUUAUUUCUGCUGCUCGAGAAGUGGAGUAAAUCUUAUCAUUUAGAGGAAGGAGAAGUCGUAACA
rnacentral:rRNA from 1 species